rnacentral:misc_RNA from 1 species
UUUCCGUAGGUGAACCUGCGGAAGGAUCAUUCAUAAUAAGUGUUUUAUGGCACUUUUUUAAAUCCAUAUCCACCUUGUGUGCAAUGUCAGGGUUGAUUUUUCUCUCGAGAGGAUCAACCCCAAACAUCAACUAUAUCUCAACUCUUUGUCUGAAAAAUAUUAUGAAUAAAACAAUUCAAAAUACAACUUUCAACAACGGAUCUCUUGGCUCUG